rnacentral:rRNA from 1 species
AGCGAACGCUGGCGGCAGGCCUAAUACAUGCAAGUCGAGCGCACCUUCGGGUGAGCGGCGGACGGGUGAGUAACGCGUGGGAACGUGCCCUUUGGUACGGGAUAACUGAGGGAAACUUCAGCUAAUACCGUAUGUGCCCUACGGGGGAAAGAUUUAUCGCCAUUGGAGCGGCCCGCGUUGGAUUAGGUAGUUGGUGGGGUAAAGGCCCACCAAGCCGACGAUCCAUAGCUGGUCUGAGAGGAUGAUCAGCCACACUGGGACUGAGACACGGCCCAGACUCCUACGGGAGGCAGCAGUAGGGAAUCUUGCGCAAUGGGCGAAAGCCUGACGCAGCCAUGCCGCGUGAAUGAUGAAGGUCUUAGGAUUGUAAAAUUCUUUCACCGGGGAAGAUAAUGACGGUACCCGGAGAAGAAGCCCCGGCUAACUUCGUGCCAGCAGCCGCGGUAAUACGAAGGGGGCUAGCGUUGCUCGGAAUUACUGGGCGUAAAGGGCGCGUAGGCGGAUGUUUAAGUCGGGGGUGAAAGCCCGGGGCUCAACCUCGGAAUUGCCUUCGAUACUGGACAUCUUGAGUACGGGAGAGGUGAG